CUGAUGUUCUUAUGAAGGCCUCGGCCUCUCUGCACUGUUUUUGACCCUCCAGAGGAACUGGUUGACCACUGUGUGAGACAGGAAGGUGGACUAGAUGGACCCUCCCUGGGCUCUUCUGAUGUCCUUAUGAAGGCCUCAGUCUCUCUGCCCUGUUGUUGGCCCUUGAGAGGAAAUGGUUGGCCUCUGUGUGAGACAGGAAGGUGGACUAGAUGGACCCUCCCUGGGAUCUUCUGAUGUUCUUAUGACGGCCUCGGCCUCUCUGCACUGUUUUUGACCCUCCAGAGGAACUGGUUGACCACUGUGUGAGACAGGAAGGUGGACUAGAUGGACCCUCCCUGGUC